rnacentral:lncRNA from 1 species
UACAGUGUAUUUGGAGGUGGAAUAGGUGAUUGUCCUCUUUGUUUGGUUGCACUCUGGUAACGUAAUCAGAUUACUGUGUGGGUUCUAUAUCUGAUUACGGUGGGGGAGGAGGGGUAACAAGCUUGUAUAUAUAUUAUUUAGGUAAGGGAUUCGAUUACAGUGUCAAUUGAUUACAAACCACCGUAACCAAACAUAUAUAAUGGGAUUCGUUACCUUCAGUAAUCAGAUUACGUACAUUUGAGCCAACCAAACACUACCUGAGUCUUAGGAGAGGAUAAAAUAAUAUUUAGUAAGCGUUUGAUACAGAUUUUACAAUCCACCCUAUCCAUAUUAUAUAAUCCAACAAUAUUCUCAAAUGCAACAUUUACCAAAUUUUAUCCAAUGCUUUAAAUAUCAGGCUAAGCCCUUUAGUUGCCGGGCUCUGCAACAGCUAAGAGAAACUAUAUUUACUCAAAAAAAA